GAUGAACGCUAGCGGCAGGCUUAAUACAUGCAAGUCGAGGGACAGCACAGGUAGCAAUACUGGGUGGUAACCGGCAAACGGGUGCGGAACACGUACACAACCUUCCUUUCAGUGGGGGAUAGCCCAGAGAAAUUUGGAUUAAUACCCCGUAAUAUAGUUGAAUGGCAUCAUUUGAUUAUUAUAGCUACGGCGCUUAAUGAUGGGUGUGCGGCUGAUUAGAUAGUUGGCGGGGUAACGGCCCACCAAGUCUACGAGCAGUAGCUGAUGUGAGCGCAUGAUCAGCCACACGGGCACUGAGACACGGGCCCGACUCCUACGGGAGGCAGCAGUAAGGAAUAUUGGUCAAUGGACGCAAGUCUGAACCAGCCAUGCCGCGUGAAGGAUUAAGGUCCUCUGGAUUGUAAACUUCUUUUAUUUGGGACGAAAAAGGGCCUUUCUAGGUCAACUGACGGUACCAGAUGAAUAAGCACCGGCUAACUCCGUGCCAGCCGCCGCAGUAACAC
rnacentral:rRNA from 1 species